CGUCGAUAACGCAAACGUCACGGUGGAGGUCUGUGGGCUACCACUGCCGAGCAGCACAAAGCCUUGCUCAAACCCCACACGCUGUCCCACCGCUCGGAGAGCUCCUUCCAUCCCAUCUGCUACCUCACCCAAAUGAUGCCUCGUGCCUAUUCUGGUGCAGGUGGGUUACUCAGCCCCGUGCAGGCAGGAGCUGUUACCGAGUACUGGAAGUAACCCUUACGUUGCUACCGGGGACAUCCUGUGGUCUGGGAUGACUUCAACCAGAAGUUUCUGACGGUGCCAAUACACUGCGUGCGUUGCUCAGCCCUGUGUUACCCUGUUCAGCAGAAUCCCAGACCUGAGCCGAUUUGAGCCUUUCAGCGGCCAGCCCCCCAGCCCGAGGUGUCCCAUGUCCAAGGUGUUAUUUCAUGCAGGGAAAUUCUCUUUUUAAUUUUGGAGCUGCUGCUCUGAAGUGCUGAGUACUCACAGCUAUUGCAGCUAGUCAGGGCGGAGGGAGGUGUUCCUUCUUUGAAGGAUAUGGCUCGUCUUUCCCUUACGAAGGCCUGGUGAGAUGAAUGACGUUGCCUUUGUGCCGUGCCUGCGUUAGGCCGGAGGCCCGGCAGGAAGCCAGCCCCGUGUGCCGUGCGCGUACCCGUCGGCGCUGCCAACGAGGAGCCAGCUCCCACUGUUCGUCAGCUGCCUCACCCGGGAAGAAGAAAGCUGUUCCUCUGCAAGAAAGAAAACCUUGUAUUUAAAUGCAGGUGACAAACCAGCUCCUUCCACCUCGCUUGCACCUAGGCUCAUGCUGCCUGCUGUUUGCCCUGACCUAGCCAGACUAGCUCAGAUUUAAAUAAGUGACGGUCUGCAUGCAGGUAAGCCACAACUAAACCCAGUUUGAGUUGUUGCUCGUUUCAUGUUACCUUUGAUGUUCCGCUGAGUAACCCUGGCUGUUCCUGGAGCUGGAGGCAGCUGCAGAGUGGGUGCUCCUGGUACAAACCCUGAGCCCUGAGCGCAGGCAGUGAGCGCUGUGGACCCCACUCAGGGUCAGCCCGGUGGCAGGAAGGGAAGGCAGGUGGAGGUGGGGGCAAGCUGGUGCUGCUGGCACUUGGGGCAAGGGCUGCCAGGAAGCAAGCUGCCUUUUAAAAUGCAGACAAAUGACAGUCCCCUGCACCCUUGUUGCUGCAGCUCGCUCAGACUGCAUAAUGUGUCCCUUCUGAUCAUUAACAUUACCACGGUAAAGCACCCCCCUCCCAGCUCCAGGGGUAAGAAGAGGUUAUUUCUAAGCACACAACGAAACAAAGACAUGCAGAGUCCUGUGGCCUCAUACCCCUUUGUAGUGCAGCUUUAUACCAACACCUGAUGCAUUUUGAGGCAAAUACUAAGUUCUUCUGUUCAGAACAUAGGUGUUAUUCAACUUCCCAAGCCUUCUGGCUCUGAAAGCACUUCACCUCCCACUGCCCGAUAGCAGCAUGUGUGGACGCUUCAGGUUAGUGUCAGAGGAGCCUGGUUUUACUGGAACAAAAACCAGGGCAGGCUCUGUCUGGGCUGGUUGAUGCGAGCAGCUCGCCCCUUCCUCAGAGGGUGGGCAGCAACUGCCUCCAUGUGUGCUGCACAUCUCUUACCGUGGCUGGGAACGGUGCUGCUUCUGCACACGCGGUCGUAAUUCAGGCUGUAGGAAGCAGGCUGCUGGUAAAGCAGGGGCCUUGGUUUUGCUACAUAAAUAGUGAGGCAAGAGCUAUUUACGAUGUCCUGAGAAGCAGCUGCAGUAAGCAGCUAAUGACUUCCAGUUCUGGCUAGAAAGGUAUACAAAAUCAUUUGCAUGCAGGAAACCGAAGAACUGCUUUACUUUCCUUGUUCUUGCGUGAGUAUUUGAGAUACUGAUUUUUUUCCUGAAGAAAAGUAACUUGCCACAUGGAUUUGCUACGACACUGUACAGAGCUGGCUACAGCAUUUAUUAAAAUAUUACAGAAAGCUGUACUGCAGAGAACACACCCACUAGACUUCAUUGCAAUGAGGACAUACCCACAGAGGCCAGGGAAACGACGCACGCUUUUAAGACUUCUCCCUUAUAGCAUUUACGUGUUUGAAGUCCUGCUUUUUAAAUCCCAUGUAAGCUCACUUCAAGUUUCAACACAUUGUGAGUGAUUUACCUGAAUGAUCCCAAACAUUAAAAAGAAGUUAUUGUCCUCUAUUCUUGAUCUGGAUUGACUGUAAAAAGGCAAAAAGCUGACCUCCUGUUCUUGCUUUACAAAAGCAGGUAUCUGUAACACCUUAUGCUGACAGCUUCAGGAGGGGCUACAAUGGCACCUGCGUCACUUGUCCCUACCUGCACCCGUCAGGCCUUGGUUACUAAAAAAAUAACCUAAAUUCAAAGCAAAUGCCUAAAUCAUUCUUACAGGCACAGUCAAGAUAAUUGUCACAGUGCAAGAAGGUCGUAGUUCCUACACAAACUUUUAAAAGCCUCUACAAAAGAAGAGUUAAAUGUAGUGACAGGAAGAGCGCUGCUGUCAGGUGCGAGGGGGAAGGAAACGGCGAUAACGGGCGUUACUGGAGCCACAUCUUUGUCAGUUGAGCCUCCAGAGCACAGCAGAACAGUUGGAGAACACGCACAAGGAUGGAACAUGACGGCAUCAUUCACUCAGCAUCAGUAUUUUCUCCUGCUUACCUCUUGCUUUGACUCGGGAAAACUUCAGCUGGCACAGAUUUACCCACGGAACAAGCCAUAGUACUGACAGAGUAAGGACUUAAAUACUCUGCCAAUAUCACCAAGGGUUUAAGACUAAAGACAACAAGUGAUACUGUAAGUUGAGGCAAGUUUUAUUUAGACUGUACAAACAGGGCACUGGAAAAAAAAAAAAACAACACAAUGGCUUGAUGUUGGGACCAGUUCUAUGAAAUAAGUGGAGUAAGAAAUUAAAAGGCACUAAUCUUAAGAAAAGACACUCCAUAUAUUCUAAGAAUAUAAUUCAUUUAAUACUGUUAAUUUUAUAGCACAAAAAAUAAAACAAGCUAUGAUCCCCAAAAUAAACUUUAAAAGCUUACACUUUAAUAUUAUUGCCUGAAGUUCAUGGUCUUUAAAUUACAUAUUGGGUUUUAAAGUUUACACAGUGAAGACUGUCUCGAAUACAAGGCCACCUUUCCCACUGCAAUAAUUGUAUCCUUGUCUCAAAAAACAUUUUCAUUUAACAGAACAGAAAAUGACAGCUUUACAAGAAUGCUUUCACUGGUCCCAAAAGGCAGUCUUUUAGGCAGGUCUCACUUUCAAAUGCAGGUAUUGAGAAAAUAUGCUUGAAAACUUGACUAGAAAACAAAAGGCAGCCCACUCGUUCCCAGGAUGUUAAUAUAAUAUUAAAAAAUUACUUUACAGGCACAUGAAAUGGCACAAAGAAUGCUGUAUUUCCCUUUACAAAAAUAAUGCUCAGGCUCUUCAGAGCCCCAACCCAGACAGGAUAUUCCCUUUUGUUUAUUCUUUCCAAUUUGUAAACAAUCAUGAAUUAAAUUAGCGCUUAUCCAGUGAUGGACACUGAUUACAACAGUUUUCAUUUAAA